rnacentral:rRNA from 1 species
GUGCACGCUGGCGGUAGGCCUAACACAUGCAAGUCGAACGGCAGCACCGUAAGAGCUUGCUCUUACGGGUGGCGAGUGGCGGACGGGUGAGGAAUACAUCGGAAUCUACUUUUUCGUGGGGGAUAACGUAGGGAAACUUACGCUAAUACCGCAUACGACCUACGGGUGAAAGCAGGGGAUCUUCGGACCUUGCGCGAUUGAAUGAGCCGAUGUCGGAUUAGCUAGUUGGCGGGGUAAAGGCCCACCAAGGCGACGAUCCGUAGCUGGUCUGAGAGGAUGAUCAGCCACACUGGAACGGAGACACGGUCCAGACUCCUACGGGAGGCAGCAGUGGGGAAUAUUGGACAAUGGGCGCAAGCCUGAUCCAGCCAUACCGCGUGGGUGAAGAAGGCCUUCGGGUUGUAAAGCCCUUUUGUUGGGAAAGAAAAGCAGCAGGUUAAUACCCCGCUGUUCUGACGGUACCCAAAGAAUAAGCACCGGCUAACUUCGUG